UACGAAGGGGGCUAGCGUUGCUCGGAAUCACUGGGCGUAAAGCGCACGUAGGCGGAUUGUUAAGUCAGGGGUGAAAUCCUGGAGCUCAACUCCAGAACUGCCUUUGAUACUGGACAGAUCGUAGUUCGGGAGAGGUGAGUGGAACUGCGAGUGUAGAGGUGAAAUUCGUAGAUAUUCGCAAGAACACCAGUGGCGAAGGCGGCUCACUGGCCCGAUACUGACGCUG
rnacentral:rRNA from 1 species